rnacentral:rRNA from 1 species
UGGGAAACUGCCUGAUGGAGGGGGAUAACUACUGGAAACGGUAGCUAAUACCGCAUAACGUCGCAAGACCAAAGAGGGGGACCUUCGGGCCUCUUGCCAUCGGAUGUGCCCAGAUGGGAUUAGCUUGUAGGUGGGGUAACGGCUCACCUAGGCGACGAUCCCUAGCUGGUCUGAGAGGAUGACCAGCCACACUGGAACUGAGACACGGUCCAGACUCCUACGGGAGGCAGCAGUGGGGAAUAUUGCACAAUGGGCGCAAGCCUGAUGCAGCCAUGCCGCGUGUAUGAAGAAGGCCUUCGGGUUGUAAAGUACUUUCAGCGGGGAGGAAGGGAGUAAAGUUAAUACCUUUGCUCAUUGACGUUACCCGCAGAAGAAGCACCGGCUAACUCCGUGCCAGCAGCCGCGGUAAUACGGAGGGUGCAAGCGUUAAUCGGAAUUACUGGGCGUAAAGCGCACGCAGGCGGUUUGUUAAGUCAGAUGUGAAAUCCCCGGGCUCAACCUGGGAACUGCAUCUGAUACUGGCAAGCUUGAGUCUCGUAGAGGGGGGUAGAAUUCCAGGUGUAGCGGUGAAAUGCGUAGAGAUCUGGAGGAAUACCGGUGGCGAAGGCGGCCCCCCUGGACGAAGACUGACGCUCACGUGCGAAAGCGUGGGGAGCAAACAGGAUUAGAUACCCCUGGUAGUCCACGCCGUAAACGAUGUCGACUUGGAGGUUGUGCCCU